rnacentral:lncRNA from 1 species
GGAUUGUGUCGAGGCACAAUGUCUGCAGCAUUGAAGGUCCCCAAGAACACAGUGGUCUCCAUCAUUCUUAAAUGGAAGAAGAUUGGAAGCACCAAGACUCUGAUGUGGUUGUUAGACCCAACAGCACCAGGAAGAGUGUUAUGGCUGUGAAAAUGGAAAUGGCUGUGCAGCGAGCUUGAGAGGAUCUGCAGAGAAGAAUUGGAGAACUCCCCAAAUAUAUUUGUGCCAAGCUUGUAGCGUCAUACCCAAUAAGACUCAAAGCUGUAAUCGCUGCCAAAGGUGCUUCAACAAAGUAAUGAGCAAAGGGCCUGAAUAUUUAUGUAAAGACAAUAUUUCAGUUUAUAUAUAUAUAUAUACACACACUACCGAAAGAACACAGACACUGGACAGAGGAACUCUGAACUCAAAGCACUCACCUCUGCCAUCAUGAAGUGCUUUGAGAGACUAGUCAAGGAUCAUAUCACCUUACCUGCCACCCUAGACCCACUUCAAUUUGCUUACCGCCCCAAUAGAGCCACAGACGAUGCAAUCGUCAUCACUCUGCACACUGCCCUAUCCCAUCUGGACAAGAGGAAUACCUAUGUAAGAAUGUUGUUUAUUCAACACCAUAGUACCCGCCAAGCUCUUCAUUAAGCUUGAGGCCCUGGGUCUGAACCUCGCCCUGUGCAACUGGGUCCUGGACUUCCUGACGGGCCGCCCCCAGGUGGUGACGGUAGGAAACAUCAGCUCCACUCCGCUGAUCCUCAACACUGGGGCCCCACAAGGCUGCGUGCUCAGCCCUCUCCUGUACUCCCUGUUCACCCAUGACUGCAUGGCCACACACGCCUCCAACUCAAUCAAGUUUGCAGACGACACAACCAUAGUAGGCCUGAUUACCAAAAAUGAUGCGACAGCCUACAGGGAGGAGGUGAGGGCUCUGAGAGUGUGGUGCCUGGAAAACAAACUCUCACGCAACGUCAACAAAACAAAGGAGAUGAUCGUGGACUUCAGGAAACAGCAGAGGGAGCACCCCCCAUCCACAUUGAAGGGACAGCAGUGGAGAAGGUGGAAAGCUUCAAGUUCCUUGGCGUACACAUCAAUGAAAUGUCAAUGAUGUGGAGUGAAGACUCCAGGCGCAACAGCGCCUCUUCAACCUCAGGAGCCUGAAGAAAUUAGGCUUGUCACCGAAAACCCUCACAAACCUUUACAGAUGCACAAUUGAAAACAGGACACCUACAGCACCCGAUGUCACAAGAAGGCCAAAAAGAUCAUCAAUGACAUCAACCACCCGAGCCACUGCCUGUUCACCCCGCUACCAUCCAGAAGGCGAAGUCAGUACAGGUGCAUCAAAGCUGGAACCGAGAGACUGAAAAACAACUUCUAUCUCAAGGCCAUCAGACUGUUAAGUGGGUGUGGUUAUAUCCUGCCUAUUUGGCCCUGUCCGGGGGUUUCAUCGGAUGGGGCCACAGUGUCUCCUGACCCCUGCUGUCUCAGCUUCCAGUAUUUAUGCUGCAUUAGUUUAUGUGUCGGGGGGCUAGGGUCAGUCUGUUAUAUCUGGAGUAUUUCUCCUGUCUUCUCCUGUGUCCUGUGUGAAUUUUAAUAUGCUCUCUCUAAUUCUAUCUUUCUUUCUCUCUUUCUUUCUUUCUUUCUCUCUCGGAGGACCUGAGCCCUAGGACCAUGCCUCAGGACUACCUGGCCUGAUGACUCCUUGCUGUCCCCAGUCCACCUGGCCGUGCUGCUGCUCCAGGUUCAACUGUUCUGCCUGCGGCUAUGGAACCCUGACCUGUUCACCGGACGUGCUACCUGUCCCAGACCUGCUGUUUUCAACUCUCUAGAGACAGCAGGAGCGGUAGAGAUACUCUCAAUGAUCGGCUAUGAAAAGCCAACUGACAUUUACUCCUGAGGUGCUGACCUGUUGCACCCUUGACAACCACUGUGAUUAUUAUUAUUUGACCCUGCUGGUCAUCUAUGAACAUUUGAACAUCUUGGCCAUGUUCUGUUAUAAUAUCCACCCUGCACAGCCAGAAGAGGACUGGCCACCCCUCAUAGCCUGGUUCCUCUCUAGGUUUCUUCCUAUGUUCUGGCCUUUCUAGGGAGUUUUUCCUAGCCACCGUGCUUCUACAGCUGCAUUGCUUGCUGUUUGGGGUUUUAGGCUGGGUUUCUGUACAGCACUUUGUGACAUCAGCUGAUGUAAGAAGGGCUUUAUAAAUAAAUUUGAUUUGAUUGCUAAACAGCCAUCACUAGCACAUUAAAGGCUGCUGCCUAUAGGCAUAGACAAGAAAUCACUGGC